AUUGAACGCUGGCGGCAGGCCUAACACAUGCAAGUCGAACGAGUGGCGGACGGGUGAGUAAUGCAUGGGGAUCUGGCUUAUGGAGGGGGAUAACGACUGGAAACGGUCGCUAAUACCGCAUACCAUAGGAUGAGCCCAAAGGGGAUUAGGUAGUUGGUGGGGUAAUGGCCCACCAAGCCGACGAUCUCUAGCUGGUCUGAGAGGAUGACCAGCCACACCGGGACUGAGACACGGCCCGGACUCCUACGGGAGGCAGCAGUGGGGAAUAUUGCGCAAUGGGCGCAACCCUGACGCAGCCAUGCCGCGUGAAUGAAGAAGGCCUUCGGGUUGUAAAGUACUUUCGGUGACGAGGCGUUAAUCACAGAAGAAGCACCGGCUAACUCCGUGCCAGCCGCCGCGGUAAUAC
rnacentral:rRNA from 1 species